UGGAUUACUUUUCAGUAUGAAGGAUUCGAUCCAAACCUUGAAAUGUCUUUUGACGUUAUAUUUGAAAAUGUGCAUGCAUGUGUAUUCAUGAAGGGCAGAGAAUGAUAAAUGUUCUCAUUUGAGUUAAAACCAAACACAGUGUAGGCAGCUGCUGUGAGCUUUGUUAUUACAAUUUUGGCCUGACAUAUGAGUUGGAAAAU
rfam:Pteropus vampyrus cont1.72731, whole genome shotgun sequence.